GGGCCCGCACAAGCGGAGGAACAUGUGGUUUAAUUCGAUGAUACGCGAGGAACCUUACCCGGGCUUGAAAUGCAGAGGAAUGAUGUGGAAACAUGUCAGUCAGCAAUGACCUCUGUGUAGGUGCUGCAUGGUUGUCGUCAUCUCGUGCCGUGAGGUGUCGGCUUAAGUGCCAUAACGAGCGCAACCCUUGUCGUUAGUUACUAACAGGUCAUGCUGAGGACUCUAACGAGACUGCCACCGUAAGGUGCGAGGAAGGUGGGGAUGACGUCAAAUCAGCACGGCCCUUACGUCCGGGGCGACACACGUGUUACAAUGGGGGGUACAGAGGGUUGCUACCUAGCGAUAGGAUGCUAAUCUUUAAAGCCUCUCUCAGUUCGGAUCGGAGUCUGCAACUCGACUCCGUGAAGCUGGAUUCGCUAGUAAUCGCGCAUCAGCCAUGGCG
rnacentral:rRNA from 1 species